AUUCUUCAACCCUCCCUUUUCUUAGUGAAUUGAGAGGAGUUUGGAUUCUGAGUGUUGCUCCUUACCCGAGCUCAUUCGUAAUAUAUUAGCAUCCAUAUUCGAAUUUCGGAUUGACUUGGCGUAAUAGACUAUUCGCUGAGGAAUCUAACUUCGGUUAGAGCCGUCUUUGAAAAAGGAAGCUGCUAAACUAGCUUAGUCUACUUUUAGAU
rnacentral:misc_RNA from 1 species